rnacentral:rRNA from 1 species
UACGGGGGGUGCGAGCGUUGUCCGGAAUUACUGGGCGUAAAGCGUGCGUAGACGGCUAUCUAAGUCGGGUGUGAAAGCCCCGGGCUCAACCUGGGAAUUGCAUUCGAGACUGAAUAGCUAGGGUACGGUAGAGGGAAGUGGAAUUUCCGGUGUAGCGGUGAAAUGCGUAGAUAUCGGAAGGAACAUCAGUGGCGAAAGCGACUUCCUGGACCAGUACCGACGUUCAGGCACGAAAGCGUGGGGAGCAAACAGG